GCCCUAGUAGCUUAACUCUUAAGCGCCGGUCUUGUAAUCCGGAGACUGGAGGUUAAAGUCCUCCCUAGCGCU
rnacentral:tRNA from 1 species